GCCUCGCCGGAGCUGUGCGACAGGCAUUCAGGCAGCGAGCGCAGAGGUAGGAGUUCAGGCAGGGGACUGCUUGAGGAACUCGCAGAUAAGGUUUUUUUUUUUCCUUAAAAAGAGAAAGAUAGAAAUUGAUAGAACCCUUAGGAAAUAUAACUAGCGAAAAGUUAAAUAGUUUUGUAGCGUUAUUAAGUUAACCAGAUGAAACGGUUUUAUUUAAGUAAUGAAGACUUAACAUGAAAAGUAGUUUGAGAAAGGGAGAAGAAAAAAGAUUAUUGUAGAAAAUGAUGGAGGCUAAAAAGAGGAAGCUGCUUCAUCGAGUCAGUUUCUUUUUUCAAAAGAUUGCUAAGAGCCCAGAAUUCAGAAAAGUCUUAAAUCGAAGAUCAACCUUCUAGAUUAAAAUGAAAAUAAUUUAAACAGAACCUAAAUGUGAAAUAGUUCGGGUAUAUGUGAUUAAAAUAAUUUGAAAGCAGUUAUUUAAAAACAGCUUAAAUUGAAGGUGAUGAGCUGGGUCUUCAAAUUGAUGGCGUAGAAAAGAGUGCGUCGUUGGAAGCCUAGUUAAGGUAUCAGGCAGUAUUUGCUAAAAAGUAAAAAAUAGAAAAGGCUAAUUGGGAGUGAUAGAAUAAAAAUAAUACGGAGAAAGAAAAGUAGAAAUUUGAAGCGGAAAACUCGGAAGACAGGAAGGUGAAGAAGAAAGCAGGGGAAGAUAGAAAAACUAGAAGAUGAAAACAAGUAACGCCUUUAGAAGACAGAAAAAAUUAAACCCAGAAGGUAGGAAGCGGAAGAAAGACAAGGAAGUAAAUAAGGGCAGAGUACAAACUUGGUAGAAGCCUAGAAGAUUAGGAUCAAGAUACAAAACGAGAAAAUUGUCGAGAAGUACACCUGAUAGAAGGAAUAAGCUAGGACAGCUAUUGGACGGAAGCGUAGAAGAUAGACGGGGAAAAAAUAGAAGAUAGAAAACUUGGCAAAAUGAAGAGGUGCAAAACCUGAGGAAAAAUAAGCAGGAGGAAAUCAGUUUUUUAAAAAAUAGUAUUUUAAAAGCUCAUUUGUGUAGUCUCUGGUGAUGCAGACAGUUAAGGGUUUCAGAAGAUAAGGGCGUUUAAAUUACCGUAGACCUGGACCGACUUAGAAGACCUGGAAGCUAGAAGGGAGGCAAGAAGGACUGAAAUUUAAAAACUAAAUGUGUUCUUGGAAGUUAGGAUUUGGAAGGUCUUAAAAUACAGGAGCGUAGUAUACUCUAAAACAUUGGAAGGACUUUCAUAAUUGGAGCAGGUCAAGAUGAAGACUAAUGGGCAGCCGGCUGUUCCGCUUGGGACUGAGCUGAGGUGUGAGCCUGAGGACUAGCGUUAGUGGCGGCCGCGCGGACGACGGGGAGCGGCUAGGAACCGGGAGCGGUGCUGUCGGAGCGGGCCAGAGCAGCCAGCGGUGCGAGGUGGAGUAGGAAGGAGCAGCCCAGGAGCCGGUGUGGUGGAGGAGCUAGGAAGAAGGAAGGCGCCGUACGCUGGUGUGAAGCUAGGCGAGGAAGCCAGGAAGGAGCGGCCGCUGCGGCUUGGGCUGCAGCCGGCGGGCGGCUUGGAGGCGGCGGCGCGUAGGUGUAGCGGAGCCUAGACCGGCGGGCGCCGGGGAGCAAGGGAGCGAGUGAGCGGUAAAGGCGAGUCCGGCUCGGCUGUGUGUUCGUGUUUUCUCCGUAACCGAAGUUUGGUCUGUCUAGAGUGCCAAAGGCAAAUGACUCAAGGUCACAGAAAAAAGAAAAUCCAGUAUCAGCAUAAUCAGAGCACCAGAUUUAACAGUUCUAGAAACUAGAGCACCAGUAGCUCUCACUUUGAGGUCUGUGGAGGAGCUGUCCAUUGGAGAAAUGGCUGGUAGUUAUAUUAUUUCUGUUUUUUCAUCAGAUUUUUAAAAAAUAAUCCCUUAAACUUACUGUUUUUACUUGAAGUAUUUUGGGGUGGUCUUAACAGGGAACAGAAGGGGGUGGGGGAGGAAAUGUUUUUUCUAAGAUUCUCCACAGAUGCUAUAGUACUAUUGACAAACUGAGUUAGAGAAGGAUUGUACUGCUAUGCUGUUGACACGAACAUGUCCAAGGAUUGGAGCUGCUUUUUUCCUUGGAAGAGUAUUCCCAGUUGAAGCUGAAAAAAAGUACAGCACAGUGCAGCUUUGGUUCAUAUUCAGUCAUCUCAGGAGACCAGAAGAGCUUGACUAGGCCAAAUGUGCGAAGUUAAGUUUUCAAACAAUAUGAUUUUUAAAAUGUUAAAGGGGAGGGAUUGUUGUGCAGUCGUUGACAGUGCCUGUUAUGGUUGGGAUUGGGAGGGUUGGGGUUAGGUAAUUGUUUAGUUUAUGUUUUCAGAUAACUCAUACCAGAGAACUUAAAUACUUAGAAUGGAAAAACUAAAGAAAUCUCAACUUCCAAGUUGGCAAGUAACUCCCAAUGCUCUGGUUAAUUGCUUUCUCAAUUUUUGAAUUGGGCAGCUUGGGGAAGUUAAGGUGGGGUGUACCAGUGCAUUAAUUUGGGCAGGGAAAGUCAACCAUACUUUGGUAUGUUACCUGUUCUCUCAGUGUAGGGGCUGGGCAAGAAAAAUAUUGGACGGGGGGUGGGGGGGUUGGUCUGGCCUCCCGGGCUUGACAUUAAUUAGGUGUAAAAUGUCGGGGGAUUUUUUAAAACAUGAUAGUUGUUUGGAUAUGGUAGUGUGUGGUUCUCUUUUGGAAUUUUUUUCAGGUGAUUUAAUAUAACUUAAUACUACUGUAGGAACUUCAGAGCAAAGGAAGUGACUUAAAGAUCCUGAAGGGAUUUCCUCUGAUGGUAGAUUAUGUAUUAUCAAGUAAGAUUCUAUUUUCAGUUGUGUCUAAGGUUUUUUUGAGUGUAGGAAACAUUUUUACUUUGACUGCAGAACAAGAUGUUAAGGUAUGCCUCAAAAUGUAAAUUGUUUUAAAUUUGCAUCUUAAAAUAUUUGUAAAUUAUAAUUGAUAAACGGAUUGUGGUAGUUUAGCUUGAAUGUCUUUAGAGGGUGGGUUUUUGUUGAUGAGGGAGGGGAAACCUUUUUUUUCUGUAGACUUUUUUCAGAUAACAUCUUCUGAGUCAUAACCAGCCUGGCAAUAUGAUGGCCUAGAUGCAGAGGGAACAACUCCUUGGUGAAUGAUAAGUAAAGGCAGAAAAGAUUAUAUUUCCUACCUCCAUUGGGCAAAAAUCAUAACCAGAUGUUUACUACUGAUGAACACAGAAUCUAUUUGUCUGCAUAUGCAAAAAAUUUACGCAAAUGAAAGCUGUCAAUUUUAAAGUUACGGAAUCUGCCAUUUUAAAGUUACAGCUUGGCGUAUCAAGCUAUACCCACAAAUAAAAAUGAUGAGAAAUCUUAACAAUGAAGAUAAAUUCCAUCUCAAAAUACUGCUUUUACAAAGGCAGAAUAAAGUGGAACGAAAUGAAAAUGAUUUUUCCACAUUAACCCUGGAAUAAAAGAAGCUGAAAUAUUAAGAGAUGAGUGGGAUCAAGUGGAUUGACAGGAGGCUGUGCUGUGUGCCAAUCUUUGUUUGCCUCAGACAGGUUUCUCUUCGUAAUUAUCAGAAGAGUUGCUUCAUUUCAUCUGCGAACAGAAAACAGGCAGCUGUUAACAGAUAAGUUAAACUUGCAUCUACAGAAUUGCAUGUUAGGGCUAAAUGCCUAUUUUUAUUUAAGAGCUGUGGAGAGGCCUUCAGUAUUCCUGACCCCUUCCCUAGGGGAUUCCAGGAUUGUGGGAUUUUUCCGGUCGAGCAUUUUAAUUAGGUCUUAAGUUUCCAUGCUGAAUGGGGAUCGCACACUUCCAUUGGAGGCAGGUAAUUCCGUCAGAGCCUCUCACAGAGGUUAGUGGCCUUAAUUAUAUGGUAGUGUUUACAGAACUAAGGAAAUUUAACGUUGAAUCAGAAAUCCGUAUGAAUAAUAGCAUAAUGCGUCAGCAAAUCAGAUGUGUUAAUCUUGAUAAAAUUUAUAUGUGUUGUGUAGUAUUUGUGCAGAUAAACCAUUAAAUCGUUGAAAAUAAUAAAACAUUUUAUUAGAGAAUGUAUGUUUUUAGAAACCGUCUCCUUAUUUAAAUAAAAUAUUGUUUGUGUGUAGUUAGUGUUGGGCAAUCUUGGGGGGAUUCUUCUCUAAUCUUUCAGAAACUUUGUCUGCGAACACUCUUUAAUGGACAAGAUCAGGAAUUGAGCAGAAGAACGAAUUUAACUUUUUUAAGGCAGGAAAGACAAAACUUACUCCUUCGUAAAGUGAUGAGCGUUUAAUAAUUCCAGGCACAUGGCAAUAGAGGUUCUCUAAAUAAGGAAUAAAUACCUCUUAGACAGGUGGGAGAUUGUAUAAUCAGAGUAACAGGUAACUACGCAUUUUGUUUCCAGAAAGUCAGAGGGCUAUAAAUUGACAGUGGUUAAAACAGAGUGAAAGUAGUAAUCACAUUUGCAAAGUUUGCAUGUUAACUUUUAAGUGUUUUAAUCAUUUCAUCUAGUGUUAGCCGAUGUUUACACUUACUGAUCUUUGUAGUCAUUUGUGGGGCAUGUGGGUUUUUGAAGAGUUUCGUUUGCAGAGGCUUCAUUCCAUCCUUCACGGAACUGUUCAGAAUAUUGACUUGCAUAUAAGCGCUUGGCUCUGCCUUCUGCUCUCCUAGUGAGUGUGUGAGACCUUGCAGUGAGUUUAUCAGCAUACUCAUGUAAAAUUUUCCCCCUGAAUUUGGGGGGAGGGAGGGAGGGGGGGCUUACUUGUUCUAGCUUUUUUUUUUACAGACUACACAAAGAGAAUGCAGUUGUCUUGACCUCAGGUCUGUGUUCUGUUGGCAAGUAAUACGCAGUACUGUUCUGACCUGCUGCUAUUAGGAUGCAUUGUGAAACGACUGGAGUAUGAGUCAAAGUUGUGUUUCCCCCCAGUGCUUGGAGUAGUGAUUGUUGAAGGAAAUCCAGCUGAGUGAUAAGGCUGAGUGUUGAAGUUUCUGCAGCUUUAAGCAGUCAUGUUUGUGAUUGAAAACCAAAUACCUUUUGCUGGGCUGCUUUAGGUAAAAUGCUUUUUGUUGCCUUUUGGUAGGGGGGUGGGGGGACACUGAAGCCUUUAGUGUUUUCCAGAUACAACUUUAAAAUCAGUGACAAGAAAUAAAUCCCAAACAAGCAAGUCUUCAAGAGAUUUAACUGGCAAGUGAAACAUUUAACAGUUCAGUGGUCUUAGUGCAUUGUCUUGUGUGGGUUUCUCUCUCCCCUCCCUUGGUCUUAAUUCUUACAUGCAGGAACAUUCAAAACAGCAGACGGUAUGCGAAGGGCCAGAGAAGCCAGACUCAGUAAGGAAAAAAUAGCUUAAUUUACUUUAAAUAUUAACGCCACCAACCAAACAUUCCAUGUUAAA